AUGUAUGUCGGUUCCAACCCCACCUCAGAGAUAAGGAACUCUGAGACGCGCUGCAGCAUACCACCUAAGUGUCCUCUUCAAGUAGUCCACUUUGGCAGCGAUCUUGUCCUCGCUGAAGCAUGAGACGGCGUGCAGCGCUUGCCUGAACAUUCCAGAGCCACGGGGCACACCUAUACCUUCGGCGCACGCAACCAUCUCCAGGACACGCCCUGGUUUGGCGCUAAGCAUCCUCGGCACACAGAUGAAGAGCUUGGCAAUAUCACAAGCACCUAG
rnacentral:rRNA from 1 species